CCUACGGGUGGCAGCAGUGGGGAAUAUUGGACAAUGGGCGAAAGCCUGAUCCAGCCAUGCCGCGUGUGUGAAGAAGGCCUUCGGGUUGUAAAGCACUUUCAGUGGGGAAGAAAGCCUUGGGGCUAAUACCCUCGAGGAAGGACAUCACCCACAGAAGAAGCACCGGCUAACUCCGUGCCAGCAGCCGCGGUAAUACGGAGGGUGCGAGCGUUAAUCGGAAUUACUGGGCGUAAAGCGCGCGUAGGCGGUCUGAUAAGCCGGUUGUGAAAGCCCCGGGCUCAACCUGGGAACGGCAUCCGGAACUGUCAGGCUAGAGUGCAGGGGAGGAAGGUAGAAUUCCCGGUGUAGCAGUGAAAUGCGUAGAGAUCGGGAGGAAUACCAGUGGCGAAGGCGGCCUUCUGGACUGACACUGACGCUGAGGUGCGAAAGCGUGGGUAGCAAACAGGAUUAGAUACCCUGGUAGUC
rnacentral:rRNA from 1 species